rnacentral:lncRNA from 1 species
UUUUUUUUUUUUUAGGGCCGCACCCACAGCAUAUGGAGGUUCCCAGGCUAGGGGUCCAAUUGGAGCUGUAGCUGCUGGCCUUCGUCAGAGGCACAGCAACGCGGGAUCCGAGCCAUGUCUGCGACCUACACCACAGUUCAUGGCAACGCCGGAUCCUUAACCCACUGAGCAAAGCCAGGGAUCAAACCCACAACUUCAUCAUUCCUAGUGGAAUUUGUUUCCGCUGCACCACAAUGGGAACGCCAACGUUUUUAUUUUUGAGUCAAAUAUAGUUAUACAUGUAGUCACUAAUCUUUGAAGCAGGACCAAGACUUUUUAUCUGAGCAUAAAUCUGUUGGUUAGAGCACCACAUUGUCUUAAAUUAUAAAUUGCAUAUUGUUUAAAUUUUCAGUUUCAUUUUCUUCAAAGCAAAGCAAGUGUUCAGACCUUCUUCGAAGGAUUUUGGUGCCAAGUCAGUCUAGACUUUGAACAACUUUUUCCUAAAUUUUACGUAUUUUUUACCUAUAUCUAGUUCUAUAGUAAUUUAUUUGUUGUUCAACUUCAUCAAGUUAGUUUUCAUGGAAAUAACUUUCUAUUUCUUUUUCAUUGGUUUGAAUAUUUAAAUCCCAUAAGUAUAAUGAGGCAUAAAUAUUUUAGGUUACAAAUGUAAACUGACUCUUAUAAACCUACAGCUCAAGUGUUGGGGUGAGGGAGUGCAUAAGUGUAUCAUAUAGCUCACACAUUAGCCUCUAACCUGCAAGUGCUCAGAGAGACUUGGUGUUAUGCAAAUAUAAUUAGGUUGUUUUAUUUUUGAUUUUGAAAGAACCUCAAACUUACCAAAGAAUAAAUUCAAAGAAUUCUUGCAAACCCUUCAUUCUGAUUCACUAGCUAUUGACGUUAUCUAAUGCCAGUCUCAAUUCCUAAUUGAAUUGCAUGGCUCACAGUGUGAAUGAUACUGGAAGAGUUCAGCCAGGCCUCUCUCCUAGUAGAAGAAGCAACUGAGGGCUGGAGAGUGUACUCAAGGGAGUUAACAUUUCACUUCAUUUGCUUUAUUCUCUCUAAAUAUAUAUCCUCCCCACUUCUUUCCGCCCCCUAAUUAUUUGAGAGUUACAGACAUCAUACCCUUUUACCCCUAAAUACUUCAGGUGCAUAUACCUAAGAACUAGAACAUUCCCUCCAUAACUAUGACACAUUGUCAAAUUCAGAAAACCUUAACACUGACAUAAUACUAUUUUCUGUAAAGCAAACAUUUUCAAAGUGCCAGUAGGCCAGUUGUGUCCUUUGUGGCAUCAGUGAGUAGAGUUCACAGAGAGAAUGGACAGUAAUGAGUAACACAGCAAAUAGGUUAAGUGGCAUCUAGUUUUUAAAGACAGAUCCCACUAUGGUUUAAUUUUUGUUAAGACUAUGCAAUAAAAAGAAAUGCUACCUAUGCUUUCCUCAUGGAAUUGUAGAUCAGACAUUGAAGAUGGACUCAAAGAUGAUUUGUUCCUCUUCUGACUCUUCUUGAUUUAUUGAUGUGACAAGUUCUAAGAAUUUUAUCUGGGAGUUCCCAUUGUGGUUAAGCAGGUUAAGAACCUAACAUAGUGUCCACAAGGAUGUGGGUUCGAUCCCUGGCAUCGCUCAGUGAGUUAAGGAUUCAUGUUGCUGCAAGUUGCGGUGUAGUCUACAGGUGCAGCUUGGAUCUGGCUUUGUGCGGCUGCUGGCAGCUGCAGCUCUGAUUCGACCCCUAGCCUGGGACUUCCAUAUGCCACAGUCACCACCUUAAAGAGAAAAAAGAAAGAAAAAAAAAUUUUUUUCCCACAAAGAUGGCAAUAAUAGCAACUGUAUAGUGAUAUACUCUAAUGUGGAAAUCAAGCUUUGGAGAUGAAUUAUGUAAUCUGUCCAAUUUAAAGGAAUGGUAAAGACAGGCACAUCAGUAAAUAUUGCAGAGCUCUAAGUUUAAAUUAAGGUGAGACAAAUAUUUCAUUGAAAUGGGCCACAUGCUUUGGCCUGAAAAAAGAAAUAAGACGGUUUAUUUAUUUAUGUAUUUAGUCUUUCUAGGGCUGCACCUGUGGCAUAUGGAAGUUCCCAAGCUAGGGGCUGAACCUGAGNCCAAGCUAGGGGUUGAACCUGAGCUGUAGCUUCAGGCCUGCCCCACAGCCACAGCAAUGCCAGAUCCGAGCUGUGUCUGUGACCCACACCGCACCUCAUGGUAACACCGGAUCCUUUAACCCACUGUGUGAGGCCAUGGAUCAAACCCACAUCCUCAUGAAUACUAGUUGGAAUCUUAACUGCUGAGCCAUAAUGGGAAUUCCUAGACAGUUUAUUUUUAAAGCAUGAUAAAGGAGGAAUCUCUCAGGUUUAAUGUCUUGUGACGAUCUCACAUAAUUAAGCAGACAUUAGUCUGUUGAAGGUUGAACACAACUUUAAUUUCUUGCUGAAGAUAGUAAUAUUAAUCUUGGGUGUUAUAUCAAAGUGAAUAAAUUCAUCCAUCAGCUAUAUGAUAGGCAUUCAGUUAAAGUCUGGGGAUAUAAAGAUGGUAAACAGUAUUUUCUGUCCUCUGAGAACUCAGAAUCUUAAAUAGAAACACAAGACUAAGCAACUAUUGAAAACUGAGUAAAGUUCAUUACAGAUUCAAGUGAAUAAUGGAAUAUAUAUUCAAAUACACACACAUAUAUGCAUACUUUUGGAAAUAGAAUCUAGUGUGAACUCUAAUAUCAAAAGUGAAUUACCUGUUGGAAUCUAACAGUAAAUUAAAACCACAGAUGGAAUCAAGUAAAGAUGCUAAUACACCUUGGGUUAAGAGCAUUGCUCUCCCUAGGUAUGAAAAGGCAAGAGAAGGGUCAACAGAAAAAAGCAAGAGCCACAGUUCUAAGAAAGGGGCUAUCUGGCAGGAUCUAGGGUCCUAGAUAGAGGAAUCUUAGCCAUAGUUAAGACAGUUGUGACCUAUUUCUCCUCCCACUUGCCAAAUAAAUGAACCCAUGGAAAAGCCAAAGUAAGGUGAUAAUGUCUGCCCUUUCCUUUAUAUAUAUAUGCACUUCCUUUUUUCCCCUCAUUUUUAAAAAGUUACAUUUAAGUGUAGUUGAUUUGUAAUGUUGCAAUACAGAUAUAAAGACCAAUGGAACAGAAUAUAGAAUCCAGGAAUAAACCCAGACACCUACAGUCAAUCUUUGACAAAGGAAGCAAGAAUAUAAAACGGGAAAAAGAUAGUCUUUUCAUCAAGUGGUGCUGGGAAAACUGGACAUCCACAUGUAAAUCAAUGAAACUGGAAUACAACCUCACACCAUGCACAAAAAUAAACUCAAAUUAGCUUAAAGACUUAAAUGUAAGACAAGACACCAUCAAACUCCUAGAAGAGAACAUAGGCAAAACAUUCUCUGACAUCAACCUUAUAAAUGUUUUCUCAGGUCUCCCAAGGCAACAGAAAUAAAAGCACAAAGAAACGAAUGGGACCUCAUCAAACUGAUAGGCUUUUGCACAGCAAAGGAAACCAUAAUUAAAAAAAAAGACAACUUACAGAAUGGGAAACAAAAUUUCAAAUGAUGCAACUGACAAGGGCUUAAUCUCUGACAUACACAAACAACUUAUACAACUCAACAGCAAAAAAGCCAACAACCCAAUGGAAAAAAUGGGCAAAAAACGUGAACAGACAUUUCUCCAAAGAAGAUACACAGAUGGCCCACAAGCACAUGAAAAAAAUGCUCAACAUCACUGAUUAUUAGAGAAAUGCAAAUCAAAACUAUGAGGUACCACCUUGCACCAGUCAGAAUGGCCAUCAUUAAUAAGUCCACUAAUAACAAAUACUGGAGAGGGUGUGGAGAAAAGGGAACCCCCCCUAC